rnacentral:rRNA from 1 species
GUUGUAUGGUUAAGUGACUAAGCGUACACGGUGGAUGCCUUGGCAGUCAGAGGCGAUGAAAGACGUAGUAACUUGCGAUAAGCCCAGAUUAGGUAGUAACAACCAUUUGAGUCUGGGAUUUCUGAAUGGGGAAACCCACGUGCAUAAGCACGUAUCCUUACCUGAAUACAUAGGGUAAGGAGGCGAACCGGGGGAACUGAAACAUCUAAGUACCCCGAGGAAAAGAAAUCAACCGAGAUUCCGAAAGUAGCGGCGAGCGAAAUUGGACUAGCCCUUAAGCUUUACACGCGUUAGACGAACGGUCUGGAAAGUCCGACGAUACAGGGUGAUAGUCCCGUAGUUGACGACGUGUGUUCAGUGAAAUCGAGUAGGGCGGGACACGUGAUAUCCUGUCUGAAUAUGGGGGGACCAUCCUCCAAGGCUAAAUACUACUGACUGACCGAUAGUGAACCAGUACCGUGAGGGAAAGGCGAAAAGAACCCCUGUGAGGGGAGUGAAAUAGAACCUGAAACCGUGUACGUACAAGCAGUAGGAGCAGGCUUUGUCCUGUGACUGCGUACCUUUUGUAUAAUGGGUCAGCGACUUAUAUUCAGUGGCAAGGUUAACCAUCUAGGGGAGCCGUAGGGAAACCGAGUCUUAACUGGGCGUUCAGUCUCUGGAUAUAGACCCGAAACCAGGUGAUCUAGCCAUGGGCAGGUUGAAGGUUGAGUAACAUCAACUGGAGGACCGAACCGACUAAUGUUGAAAAAUUAGCGGAUGACUUGUGGCUAGGGGUGAAAGGCCAAUCAAACCUGGAGAUAGCUGGUUCUCCCCGAAAGCUAUUUAGGUAGCGCCUCGGACGAAUACUACUGGGGGUAGAGCACUGUUAAGGCUAGGGGGUCAUCCCGACUUACCAACCCUUUGCAAACUCCGAAUACCAGUAAGUACUAUCCGGGAGACACACGGCGGGUGCUAACGUCCGUCGUGGAGAGGGAAACAACCCAGACCGCCAGCUAAGGUCCCAAAUUACUACUAAGUGGGAAACGAUGUGGGAAGGCUCAGACAGCCAGGAUGUUGGCUUAGAAGCAGCCAUCAUUUAAAGAAAGCGUAAUAGCUCACUGGUCGAGUCGGCCUGCGCGGAAGAUGUAACGGGGCUAAGUAGUAAACCGAAGCUGCGGCAAUAUACUUUUGUAUAUUGGGUAGGGGAGCGUUCUGUAAGCGGUUGAAGGUGUGUGGUAACGCAUGCUGGACGUAUCAGAAGUGCGAAUGCUGACAUGAGUAACGAUAAAGGGGGUGAAAAACCUCCUCGCCGGAAGACCAAGGGUUCCUGUCCAACGUUAAUCGGGGCAGGGUAAGUCGACCCCUAAGGCGAGGCCGAAAGGCGUAGUCGAUGGGAAACGGGUUAAUAUUCCCGUACUUCUUACAAUUGCGAUGGGGGGACGGAGAAGGCUAGGUGGGCCUGGCGACGGUUGUCCAGGUUCAAGUGCGUAGGCUUAAGAGUUAGGUAAAUCCGGCUCUUUCUAAGGCUGAGACACGACGUCG